UACGUAGGGUGCAAGCGUUAAUCGGAAUUACUGGGCGUAAAGCGUGCGCAGGCGGCUGUGCAAGACAGAUGUGAAAUCCCCGGGCUUAACCUGGGAACUGCAUUUGUGACUGCAUGGCUAGAGUGUGUCAGAGGGGGGUAGGAAUUCCACGUGUAGCAGUGAAAUGCGUAGAUAUGUGGAGGAAUACCGAUGGCGAAGGCAGCCCCCUGGGAUAGCACUGACGCUCAUGCACGAAAGCGUGGGGAGCAAACAGG
rnacentral:rRNA from 1 species